UCCAGCAGUCAAAUCACCCUGCAACUCACAACUGGCAACCCACUGAAGUUAAGCAGGUGUGAACCUGGUCAGUACCUGGUUUGGAGACUCCUGGGAAAAACUAAGGUUGCUGCUGGAA
rnacentral:rRNA from 1 species